rnacentral:rRNA from 1 species
AUACGUAGGUGGCAAGCGUUAUCCGGAUUUAUUGGGCGUAAAGAGAGUGCAGGCGGUUUUCUAAGUCUGAUGUGAAAGCCUUCGGCUUAACCGGAGAAGUGCAUCGGAAACUGGAUAACUUGAGUGCAGAAGAGGGUAGUGGAACUCCAUGUGUAGCGGUGGAAUGCGUAGAUAUAUGGAAGAACACCAGUGGCGAAGGCGGCUACCUGGUCUGCAACUGACGCUGAGACUCGAAAGCAUGGGUAGCGAACAGGAUUAGAUACCCUGGUAGUCCAUGCCGUAAACGAUGAGUGCUAGGUGUUGGAGGGUUUCCGCCCUUCAGUGCCGGAGCUAACGCAUUAAGCACUCCGCCUGGGGAGUACGACCGCAAGGUUGAA